rnacentral:rRNA from 1 species
GGGGGAUAUUGCACAAUGGGGGAAACCCUGAUGCAGCAACGCCGCGUGAAGGAUGACGGUUUUCGGAUUGUAAACUUCUUUUCUUAGUGACGAAGACAGUGACGGUAGCUAAGGAAUAAGCAUCGGCUAACUACGUGCCAGCAGCCGCGGUAAUACGUAGGAUGCAAGCGUUAUCCGGAUUUAUUGGGUUUAAAGGGUGCGCAGGCGGACAUUCAAGUCUGCGGUCAAAUUCCGGGGCUCAACCCCGGCCAGCCGUGGAAACUGAAUGACUUGAGUGGGCGAGAGGUAUGCGGAAUGCGCGGUGUAGCGGUGAAAUGCUUAGAGAUCGCGCAGAACUCCGAUUGCGAAGGCAGCAUACCGGCGCCUUACUGACGCUCAGGCACGAAAGCGUGGGGAUCGAACAGGAUUAGAUACCCUGGUAGUCCACGCAGUAAACGAUGAAUGCUGGUUGUUCGGGCCGACUGAGGCCUGAGUAACGUAGUGAAAACGUUAAGCAUUCCACCUGGGGAGUACGCCGGCAACGGUGAAACUCAAAGGAAUUGACGGGGGCCCGCACAAGCGGAGGAACAUGUGGUUUAAUUCGAUGAUACGCGAGGAACCUUACCCGGGCUCAAACGGGAGCGGACGUGCGGAGAAAUCCGCAUUUCUUCGGACCGCUUCCGAGGUGCUGCAUGGUUGUCGUCAGCUCGUGCCGUGAGGUGUCGGCUUAAGUGCCAUAACGAGCGCAACCCCUGCGGACAGUUGCCAUCAGGUAGAGCUGGGCACUCUGUCCGGACUGCCGGCGCAAGCCGUGAGGAAGGCGGGGAUGACGUCAAAUCAGCACGGCCCUUACGUCCGGGGCGACACACGUGUUACAAUGGGCGGCACAGCGGGAAGCCAGGUGGUGACAUCGAGCAGAACCCGAAAGCCGUUCUCAGUUCGGAUCGGAGUCUGCAACCCGACUCCGUGAAGCUGGAUUCGCUAGUAAUCGCGCAUCAGCCAUGGCGCGGUGAAUACGUUCCCG